rnacentral:rRNA from 2 species
UGGGGAAUUUUGCACAAUGGGGGAAACCCUGAUGCAGCGACGCCGCGUGAUUUAGAAGGCCUUCGGGUUGUAAAAAUCUUUUUUACGGGAUGAAAAUGACAGUACCGUAAGAAUAAGGUCCGGCUAAAUACGUGCCAGCAGCCGCGGUAAUACGUAUGGACCGAGCGUUGUCCGGAAUCAUUGGGCGUAAAGGGUACGUAGGCGGCCUAGUAAGUUAGAAGUUAAAGAAUAUAGCUCAACUAUAUAAAGCUUUUAAAACUGCUAGGCUUGAGAGAUGGAAGGGAAAGUGGAAUUCCUAGUGUAGCGGUGAAAUGCGCAGAUAUUAGGAAGAAUACCGGUGGCGAAGGCGACUUUCUGGUCAUCAUCUGACGCUGAGGUACGAAAGCGUGGGUAGCAAACAGG